rnacentral:rRNA from 1 species
GAUGAACGCUAGCUACAGGCUUAACACAUGCAAGUCGAGGGGAAACGGCAUUGAGUGCUUGCACUCUUUGGACGUCGACCGGCGCACGGGUGAGUAACGCGUAUCCAACCUUCCCAUUACUGUGGGAUAACCUGCCGAAAGGCAGACUAAUACCGCAUAGUCUUCGAUGACGGCAUCAGAUUUGAAGUAAAGAUUUAUCGGUAAUGGAUGGGGAUGCGUCUGAUUAGCUUGUUGGCGGGGUAACGGCCCACCAAGGCUACGAUCAGUAGGGGUUCUGAGAGGAAGGUCCCCCAAAUUGGAACUGAGACACGGUCCAAACUCCUACGGGAGGCAGCAGUGAGGAAUAUUGGUCAAUGGACGGAAGUCUGAACCAGCCAAGUAGCGUGCAGGAUGACGGCCCUAUGGGUUGUAAACUGCUUUUGUAUGGGGAUAAAGUUAGGGACGUGUCCCUAUUUGCAGGUACCAUGCGAAUAAGGACCGGCUAAUUCCGUG